AUCAUACCGUGCUUAUUCCCGGGAAUGAAAAAAAAAAGUUAUCAAAUAAUUGCCGGGGGACGCUCUACAAAUAUGACAUUUAACACAUUACAUGAACAUUUAUUUGUAUUUCAACAUUAUGCUAUUGAAUGUUUGUUAUAAGUGUGUGGUACUACAAGUUGCCGAUUCUACCCACAUAAGCAGCAUCUUUUAGAAGUGAUGAACAAAAUCUGAAAUGGCAGAAUACUUUCACCGUGUAUUGUUGGUAUUAGUAUUCGAAGGGCCACCAUUUUGGCUUGUUAGUAUAAUCUGUGAGGAGGAGGAAGCGUAUAUGGUGUCAGGUCGUUUGAUGGUAUUUGUAUUUCAGUUGUUGCAGUAAUGGGGAAAACGGCGAAGGAAAAACACGGGAAUGAGAGGCGCAGGUCUUAUAACUAUCCAAGAAAUGCCCAAGCUCAGGCUCAGAACUCGGGUACUGAAAGUCGGAACUACAGUUAUUCUUCCGGGAAUGUACCAAGGUACAGUAAACUUUGCUAACAUGUGCAACUGGUAAAAUUUAAUGUGGUCAAAAGUGGGUAUAUAGGAAAGUUGU